rnacentral:rRNA from 1 species
GAUGAACGCUGGCGGCGUGCCUAAUACAUGCAAGUCGAGCGAACGGACCAGGAUCUUGCGUCUCUGAUGUUAGCGGGGGACGGGAGAGUAACAUGUGUAUAACCUACCUAUAAGACUGGGAUAAUUUCGGGAAACCGGAGCUAAUACCGGAUAAUAUUUUGAACCACAUGGUGCAAAAGUUAAAGACGGUCUUGCUGUCACUAAUAGAUGGAUCCGCGCUGCAUUAGCUAGUUGGUAAGGUAACGGCUUACCAAGGCAAGGAUGCAUAGCCGACCUCAGAGGGUGGUCGGCCACACGGGAACUGAGACGCGGCCCCGACUCCUACGGUAGGACGCAGCCGGGAAUCUUACGCAAUGGGGGAGAGCCUGACGGAGCACAGCCGCGUCAGUGCUGAAGGUCCUCGGAUCGUAAAGCUCUGUUAUUAGGGAAGAACAUAUGUGUAAGUAACUGUGCACAUCUUGACGGUACCUGAUCAGAAAGCCCCGGCUAACUACGUG